rnacentral:lncRNA from 10 species
AUCGUCACUCUGGACCCAUAGCUACUCCAUCCCGAGUAGCCAUGGGCUUACCAUAGAAGGAACAAACUCUUAAUCUUAGAACUGCUUUAGGCAGUGGGCGUGAUGGUUAAAAACUCGGCCUUUGGCGUCGACCUCAGACGGAGAUCUACCAAUUAGGAAAUUAGCUGUGAUUUAGAAAAUUUAAUAUUUCGAUGCCAUACUUUCCUAAUCUGCAAAAUUUUUGUAAAUACCUGUGACCUAGUGUCGUGAGCGCUUAGCAACACCUGACACCCACUAAGCUCUCAGCCAGUGGUUCUGAAAGUGGUUCUAGACCAGCAACAACAGCAGUAGCAGCAGCACCUGUGAACUUGUUAGAAAUGCAAAGUUUCAGGCCCAUUCCAGUUCUACUGAAUCUGAAACUCGAAGGGAACAGCAACCUAUGUUUUAAUAAACCCCAAGGUAUAUACCCAGUGACAUGAAUCCUGGAUCAUAAGACAGAAACAAUGUGUUACUACAUUUUUGUUGCUGGGGAAAAGAACUGACUUGAUGUACUUCCUCAGAAGAGAGACCGAACACCAGGAAAGAAAAUACAGAUUUCCCCAGACUCUACCUGCUAUCACCAUUUUGUUGUAAUACACCUUAACUCAGAGUAAACAGAAGAGUCCAAGAACCUCUGGUUGUUUGCAGAUGGUCGCCAGAGAACCAUGAUGACAAAGAGGAUCAUGGAGAACAGCAAGCGCCAGAUGGCAUCGUCUACCCACAGCUCCCGCCAGUCCUACAAUACAGGGGAGAAGUACAACAUUUAUACACAUUAUCUUAACCCCUUGUUCAUAAAGCCUUUGGCAUAGAACAAAAA